AGUGAACGCUGGCGGUAGGCCUAACACAUGCAAGUCGAGCGGCAGCACAGUAAGAGCUUGCUCUUACGGGUGGCGAGUGGCGGACGGGUGAGGAAUACAUCGGAAUCUACUUUUUCGUGGGGGAUAACGUAGGGAAACUUACGCUAAUACCGCAUACGACCUACGGGUGAAAGCAGGGGAUCUUCGGACCUUGCGCGAUUGAAUGAGCCGAUGUCGGAUUAGCUAGUUGGCGGGGUAAAGGCCCACCAAGGCGACGAUCCGUAGCUGGUCUGAGAGGAUGAUCAGCCACACUGGAACUGAGACACGGUCCAGACUCCUACGGGAGGCAGCAGUGGGGAAUAUUGGACAAUGGGCGCAAGCCUGAUCCAGCCAUACCGCGUGGGUGAAGAAGGCCUUCGGGUUGUAAAGCCCUUUUGUUGGGAAAGAAAAGCAGCAGGUUAAUACCCCGCUGUUCUGACGGUACCCAAAGAAGAAGCACCGGCUAACUUCGU
rnacentral:rRNA from 1 species